CACUUCGGUAUAAAUGGACACUACAAAGGGCUGCCUCUGUUUGGCUUGGUUGGGGAUGGGUCAGUUUGGUGCUGCUGUGUCCUGGGAGGAAGAUGAGGAUGCUGACAAGGUUGGGGACAGCCUGGCCACAGAAAAGGAAGAAACGCUGUUUCCCAGCCACCAAACUGGCCAACGCAGACCUGAAAAAUCAAACAUUUUCCUUCCUUAUGUGCCCUCCAGAAGCUGUGAGCCAGCUGCUCUUCCCAUUUCCCUGGGCAAUGCCCAGUGCAGGGAGGAUCUGGGCGAUGCCUGGCACCCAGUGCCCUCACUCAGUGCUGGAGCUGUGGGACAGAUGAGGGGAAGAAAGGAGUCUGCUUGCUCACCUCGCCCGCUCUCCUGCAUCCACAGAGCCUGCUGCAGGAGCAGGUGCCUCUCUGGCCGAAGCGGUGUGCAGUGUCCUGGUGCACAGAGCCAUUGGAACAGCACAUUUGAGCAUUUAAAAUACAUUAAAGGAGCACUCCCUUUGAAGUGAGAAACUAUCUCUAUUUAAUCAGAGGGAAACAACUUUUCAAAAGAUUUUUUUCCCCUCUUCUUUACCUUCAGCUGUCUGGCUUCUCCUGUGGAUAGUACCAUGAAUAAAACAUGCAUAUCCCAAUUAAAUCUUGA